AGAUAUAGAAGCCAACAUUGAAAAGGGAGAAGUUGCCGAAGGUCAAACCACUGUAUCUACACCCUUUCUUCACAUUUAUAGGCAACAGAAAGAAAUUCUUCACAGGAAAUGACUUGAAUUUAAUUUGCCAUGGACUUCUUCAGCUGGAUACCAGAAAUCCAUUCGUUCUGUACCAAUCCUGCGCUGAGCACCUGAAAGUGCUGAGGCCCAAUAAUGAGGGCAGAACACUUGGCUUCAGAGAGUACACAGCAUCUGGCAGAGAAAGAAAUAUACCACAAAUGGGGCGUUUCGGAGGUUAAGGAAAAUUCCCUCUCCCCGCACACUGGGGGCACUGAAGAAAUGAAGAACACGAUGCAUCCACUCUGAAGCAGAGAUUCAGAAAAAAGCUAAAGGAGUUGACUUGCUUGAGUGUAUGCCCCUGGGAGGAAGGUGUGUAAGGUUAUGUAAGAUGGAACCAAUUUUAUCCCGUGUGAUGCUAGGAAAAGAAUGGAAAGCCACACCACAGAGGGGUCUAAAUUGAGCGCAUUGCGGUCAGUGUUCAGCCUGAGCUGAGAAAAGAAACCAGGCUCCCCAUGGGGAGGCAGGAACUUUCUCAGUGAUUUUUGAAGUCCAUGUAAAUAAAUAAAUAGCUAACAUUUAUUGAGCACUUGUUAUGUGAGCACUCUUCUAAGAGAUUUGUGUGCAUUGAUUUAUUUUCAUCACAGAACUUGACAGGUG
rnacentral:lncRNA from 1 species